UCAAGUGUGGGUACCAUUGUCUGGAAGAUGUUGAAUCAGCUGCAGACCAUCCUGAGAUAGGAAGUCAGACAUCAAGGAAGAGGUCCUGCUACCCUGAGACAACACACACUGGAGAAGCAACACCCAGCCAUAGCCAGUCUCCAGCGCAGCCCCGUGAGUGACCCUCUGGGGCGCCUUGGCCAGCUAGCCCCACCUGACAUCUGGACUGCAACUGCAUCCGAGUCCCAGAAGUGGAUUUCCUGAAGGAAAAAUCAGGCGGCAAGCAAAGUGCUGUUAGCACAGGAAUUGACCAAGGACGGAGCCACGCAUUUUGCAACUGGUUCUGGAAUCCAUCUCCAUGUAGAUCAAGGUCUACUUCCCUCUGUGUCCCCAGGGUUUUCCUGACUCAUCUUGCAGAUCAAACUGGUUCCUGGGAGCCUGAGGUGUAUUGUGAAGGACAGAGAAGGAUGUGUUUAGGAGAGGUGUCAGCCCCACAUACAGAAAAAGUUACUUAGCAUUGGCAAGUUUUCUUCACUGCUUGGCAAGCUUUCCUCCUUUUCCUUAUUUAUCUAUGCUGUUUUUUUCCUCAGGUAUGUUUCUAAUGCUCAGAGAAGUUACCAGUGGUUUCCUGCUCUGUUUUCUCAUUUCUUUCUCAUUCGUUUCAUCUCCCAUUUCUGUUCUCUAAACCUAAAGCAGUAAGAUGACUGUCUGGUCUCUUCUUGGCUCUCAUAAAGCCUCAUUAAUUUGAAGAGACUGCUACGUUGCAAAUAGGGAGGCCUCUUGAGAAUGAUUGUUGGGUGGGCAAACAGUGGUGUGUGCUGCAGGAAAUUGACGAAUUGGAGCCUGAUGAUAUUGUUAUAGACCAAGGGAAUGCCAAGAGGAAGGCAAGCCAGGAAUUCUCAUCUGAGAAGGCUGCAUUUGUGUUGAAAUACCAGUAAUCAACUAAAUAGGCCUCAAGACUAUUUAUAUUUGUGGAAAUUCUUCUGUAAAUAAAGCAAAAAGUAUAUUCA
rnacentral:lncRNA from 1 species